AGGCGCGGUGCGGAGCAGUGGCGGCGCGGAGCGUGAUUCGGGCGUUGCUGCCCGCGAAAUCGGGGCAGAGCCGAGGCCGGGCCGUGACUCCGAGAAGGCGACUCUGUGGGCAGCUAGUGCGCGACCCGGUCGUGGGGCCUCAGCGCCCGCGGCAUGACGGGACAUGUAGUGCCGGGCGGGGCGGCGGCGCGGAGCCCUGGGGUUGCGUGCUCGAUGUCCCGCGGGUGGCCGGCGUGUCCCGCCACCGGGACAACGGUGCUCCUGGCUUGGACCCGCAGAAAUCCAGCGCCAUUCCUCAGCCCAGACGCGCACAAGCGGCUGUCAUGUCGCCUUCCCCUCUCCCCCCGACUCCUUACUGCCCCUUUCUUCCCCGGCGUAUCAGGACUGCGGUGCUUCCAGAGAAUCACAGAAUCAGUUGGGUUAAAAAAGACCUGUGACAUCUCCGAGUCCAGCCUAUGGCUGAACACCACCAUGUCCACUGAGUGCCACCUCCAGGGACACUGAAAACGCUUCAGCACUUCCAGGGAUGGUGACUCCACCACCUUCCCGGGGAGCCCAUCCCAGUGUCCAACUGUGACAUUCUUUCCGUGAAGAAAUUCCUCCUCCUCACGUCCAACCCAGACCUUCCCUGGCACAGCUUUUGAGGCUGUCUGUGCACCCCUGUCCCCUUAGUGCCCCUUUCCUCCCCGGCACUAAGGAUGCAGGGGCUCUCCUUCCAGGCAAGGUGACUGGGAGCAGCCCCCACUGCAGCACCAGCCUCAGUGCCCAUCCACGUGGAGUGCCAGGGGAAGGAGGCCAGGGAGGAUGGCAAACUGACACUGAGACAGGGUCUGGAAACUGGAGACACUAAAUGUACACUGAAAAGAUCUGAUAGUGAAGCCACCUGAUACCAGGGAAAGAAAUCUGAGAAGCAGCAGAGGUAGCUGCUGAUGCAGAGAAGACAAAUUCCCAAACUCAGGUUAUUUGCAUCCUACGUUUAUUCAGGCCUGGUAAAAAUUAUGUUUCCUCUAUUGGAGACGUAGUGUGAGUGUUCUCAGGACACGCUGCAAGACUGAGCACAAAGGAUAUGGAUGCACUCUGUAAAUAUUUCCCAGCACAGAGGGCACCCGAUGAUGCUUCACUUCUUAUGAUGAUAAGCUACAAAAAGUCUGCUUGCCCACUAGAUUUGUACUUCCCUACACAUGCAUCCUGAUGGAUUCCUCCGACGUGUUUAAAAUAGGGAUGGGUCGUGCAAAUCCCCAAAUCAAAAGGUUUGCAAAUAAUCAGUCUUGCUGCUCUGCUGCUAGAUCUCGUUUCUUGUCACAGCUGUUGCCUGUUUUAGUAGCUGAUUCCCAAGGAAACAAAGCUCAUAUGAGCACAAAGGCGGAGUGCUUGCAGCCUUUGUGUGUGGGUGUGCGUGUGUGCCUGUCCUUCCUCCCCACCCUUAAUAAUUUUUUAAUCUGUUGGUCAACUGGUCGAUCUGAUUUGACAGAGGGAAAGAGCCUCCAGGAGUGAUUAUAAACAUCCUGAGUAAGGAAAAAAUUUUGGGUGGAACUUGCACCUUACUAGAAAUCAGAUAAGCCCAGCUGUGAAAUGCAAAUGCUUCAGAGUGGAAAGUUAGCAGAGCCCAGCCUGUGGGAGUUCUGGAAGAGUAGGGACACCAGCCCAGUAUCAGGUCUUUUGCAUUUAACAAACAAACAAAAACAGCUUUUGACAAACUUGAAUAUCAGGUGAAUCCAACGGAUUCAGGAGAACAGUAAAUCACCUCACUCAGAUAGCAGAGGAGUAAAACUUUUACAGUGAGCUUUAAAGUCUCCAGGCAGCCAAGCAGGAGUUGCUCAAACCUUGUGUUUUCAGCUGUUGAGAACAUGUGACUGUCAUGCAGUGUUCCAAAUUAUUCAGAAGUGCAACAUAAGACCUCUCUCCAAUUUCCUAAUCUGAGAAAACAGAUUUCAAUCACACUUGAAAAACAGAGGACAAAGAGGAUCCCAGCAGAACUUCCUCAGGCCUGAUCUGCAUAUUGAGUUGUGCAACAGCUUGAUUGCUGCCCUACCAGCUGCACAGGAGAUUUCUGCUUUCUAUGGGGCAAAAUCAGGACACGAAAUGAUUUGCGUCGGUGUUAUCGCUGCACACAUUCAGGCACAGCCUUUUGUUUUAGAAGAUGUACAAAACUGCUUUUGGAAACACAUACCUUUUUUUUUUUUUUUUUUAACUGUGCUAUUUCCCUGUUCUUGGCAGCUCUGGACAAAAAGCAGAGUUGUUUUGGUUAUAUCAAUGUUGCAGGAGAGUGGAAAGAGUGCCUGCUCUUGAAUGCUUCCCAGCAGUGGAGAAUUUUCAGCCAAUUGUAGGGAGUGAAGGUCAAGUCUUCAGCUGAUUUUUGUUGGAUUUAGUGACACUUUGCAUGUGCACUGAGACACUCAACUUGCUUGACUUCAAUUGGAUGCUGUUGUGAAAAAGAACUGGUUGGGGCUUUUCUUCUGAAACAAUCCACUUAAAUGUGGCAGUGUUAAACCACUUUGGUAACAGCUGCUCCAGAUUGUUAAAUGUGGGCUUUUCUGCCACAGCAUGGAGGCAGGACAGAGAAAAUCUUUGGGAGUCAGAAAAGUGAGGGAACCCAAGGAUAUGGCUCUCAUCAGAAAAGGUAAAUCCAAUUACAUAACAGCAGAAUUUGCUUGGGGUUUGGGUUUUUU